rnacentral:rRNA from 1 species
AUUGAACGCUGGCGGCAGGCCUAACACAUGCAAGUCGAACGAGUGGCGGACGGGUGAGUAAUGUCUGGGAACAUGCCUGAUGGAGGGGGAUAACUACUGGAAACGGUAGCUAAUACCGCAUACCAUCGGAUGUGCCCAGAUGGGAUUAGCUAGUCGGUGGGGUAACGGCUCACCUAGGCGACGAUCCCUAGCUGGUCUGCGAGGAUGACAAGCCACACUGGAACUGAGACACGGUCCAGACUCCUACGGGAGGCAGCAGUGGGGAAUAUUGCACAAUGGGCGAAAGCCUGAUGCAGCCAUGCCGCGUGUGUGAAGAAGGCCUUCGGGUUGUAAAGCACUUUCAGCGGGGAGGCGUUACCCGCAGAAGAAGCACCGGCUAACUCCGUGCCAGCAGCCGCGGUAAUAC